rnacentral:lncRNA from 1 species
CAAUCUUUAUUUUAUUGCACUCCCAUCCAUGCAGUGUUUUCAUUUUUGACAAGAAAAACAACCCCUCUUGUACCUGAAAAGAAGGAAGAUAUUUCCAAGAAAAGUAAAUGCUUUUAUUAAAGAUGUAAAGUAAAGAGAGAAGAGAAAAAUUCUUUUGUCCCCAUUGUUUUUCUCCACUCCAUUAUCAUAAUAAAACACCAGUCUUAAUCUCUCUGAAAAUAUUGUAAUGGGUCACUUUUCAAUCAGUACUAGGCUACUUGGGGGACAAUUUUUUUACCCGUAGUGGGUUAAAGCCCAAAAGAGCCCAAUGAUUAAAAGUCAACUAUCAUAAUAUAAACGAGCAUACAGUUGACCAUGUCAGUCAAGCAGAUCAACUGGACAAUGCUCACCAUCCAGUCGGAAUGUUAAGUACAGAACUCUUCAAGAUAGACUUUAAACUUUUGACCUUUUCCUAUGUAUAAGGGCGUCUCUUGAAACCUAAGCUUUGAUGUUAUUGUAAUCUUGUGUGGAUAUUAAGUUUGUUAGAGUUUGGAACUGCCAACCCAAGUGAUUGAUAGGACCUGGAUCUCUGACCUGGACGAAAAAUAUUCGUCUACAAGUAUAUUCAGCUAAGAACUUCGUGGGAAUGUUAGAUGUUCGCAAAGAUAGCUCACGCAAGAAGCUCGCAAGGGGCACUCACAUAAGCCUCGCAGAAAUAAGGUCGUGAGAGGAGAGCUCACAUAAGCCUAGUAGAUACAAGGUCGCGAGAUACGUCUGCAAAUGGGAUUGCAAGCCCUGCAAGGGAUCCCCACUCAUGACUGGCAGGUGCG